rnacentral:rRNA from 1 species
AUUGAACGCUGGCGGCAGGCCUAACACAUGCAAGUCGAACGAGUGGCGGACGGGUGAGUAAUGUAUGGGAAUCUGCCCGAUGGAGGGGGAUAACUACUGGAAACGGUAGCUAAUACCGCAUACUAUCAGAUGUGCCCAUAUGGGAUUAGCUAGUGGGUGGGGUAACGGCUCACCAAGGCGACGAUCUCUAGCUGGUCUGAGAGGAUGACCAGCCACACUGGGACUGAGACACGGCCAAGACUCCUACGGGAGGCAGCAGUGGGGAAUAUUGCACAAUGGGCGCAAGCCUGAUGCAGCCAUGCCGCGUGUAUGAAGAAGGCCUUCGGGUUGUAAAGUACUUUCAGCAGGGAGGCGUUACCCACAGAAGAAGCACCGGCUAACUCCGUGCCAGCAGCCGCGGUAAUAC